rnacentral:rRNA from 1 species
UACGGGGGGGGCAAGCGUUGUUCGGAAUUACUGGGCGUAAAGGGCUCGUAGGCGGCCAACUAAGUCAGACGUGAAAUCCCUCAGCUUAACUGGGGAACUGCGUCUGAUACUGGAUGGCUUGGAUUCGGGAGAGGAAUGCGGAAUUCCAGGUGUAGCGGUGAAAUGCGUAGAUAUCUGGAGGAACACCGGUGGCGAAGGCGGCAUCCUGGACCAACACUGGCGCUGAGUGAGCGAAAGCCAGGGGAGCAAACGGG